rnacentral:rRNA from 1 species
UACGUAGGGCGCAAGCGUUGUCCGGAAUUAUUGGGCGUAAAGAGCUCGUAGGCGGUUUGUCGCGUCUGCUGUGAAAACCUAAGGCUCAACCUUGGGCUUGCAGUGGGUACGGGCAGACUAGAGUGCGGUAGGGGUGACUGGAAUUCCUGGUGUAGCGGUGAAAGUGCGCAGAUAUCAGGAGGAACACCGGUGGCGAAGGCGGGUCUCUGGGCCGGAUACUGACGCUGAGGAGCGAAAGCGUGGGGAGCGAACAGG